UACGUAGGUGGCAAGCGUUGUCCGGAAUCACUGGGCGUAAAGCGCGCGCAGGCGGCGAUCUACGUCUGGGGUGAAAGCCCGGAGCUCAACUCCGGGACUGCCUUGGAUACGGGAUCGCUUGAGGAUUGGAGAGGCAAGGGGAAUUCCACGUGUAGCGGUGAAAUGCGUAGAGAUCGGGAGGAACAUCUGUGGCGAAGGCGGCCACCUGGACCAGCACUGACACUGAGGCACGAAAGCGUGGGGAGCAAACAGG
rnacentral:rRNA from 1 species